UGACUCCUUUUUCGGAUUCAGCCCACCUGCACCCAGGUGAAAUAAACAGCUUUGUUGCUCACACAAAGCCUGUUUAGUGGUCUCUUCACACAGAUGCGCGUGACAUUUGGUGCCGAAGACCCAGGACAGGAGGACUCCUUCGGGAGACCAGUCCCCUGUCCUCGCACUCACUCCGUGAGGAGAUCCACCUAUGACCUCGGGUCCUCAGACCAACCAGCCCAAGGAACAUCUCACCAGCCCAAGGAACAUUUCAAAUUGAAUCUUCUCAGCUUAGUGGCUGAAGACUGACGCUGCCUGAUCGCCUUGGAAGCCUACAGGACCAUCACAGAUGCUUUGGGUGACUUACAGUGGAGGGUAAGUCCAUCCCCUUCUUAAUCAAUAUGGAGACUGCCCACUCCACAUUACCUUCUUUUCAAGGGCGUGUUUCCCUUGCCUCCAUAACUGUUGUGGGUAUUGAUGGCCAGGCUUCUAAACCUCUUAAAACUCCCCAACUCUGGUGCCAACUUGGACAACAUUCUUUUAUGCACUCUGUUUUAGUUAUCCCCACCUGCCCAGCUCCCUUAUUAGGUGAAGACACUUUAACCAAAUUAUCUGCUUCCCUGACUAUUCCUGGGCUACAGCCACACCUCAUUGCUGCCCUUUUCCCCAGUUAAAACCUCCUUCCCAUUCUCCCCUUCUAUCUCCCCACCUUAAUCCACAAGUAUGGGACAUCUCUACUCCCUCCUUGGUGACCGAUCAUGCACCCCUUACCAUCCCAUUAAAACCUAAUCACCCUUACCCCGAUCAACGCCAAUAUCCCAUCCCAUGGCAUGCUUUAAAAGGAUUAAAGCCUGUUAUCGCUCGCCUGCUAUAGCAUGGUCUUCUAAAGCCUAUAAACUCUCCUUACAAUUCCCCCACUUAACCUGUCCAAAAACCAGACAAAUCUUACAGGUUAGUUCAGGAUCUGCGCGUUAUCAACCAAAUUGUCUUGCCUAUCUACCCUGUGGUGCCAAACCCAUAUACUCUCCUAUCCUCAACACCUCCCUCCACAAUCCAUUAUUCUGUUCUAGAUAAACCUAGCUGACCCAAUAAACCCUAAAUCCUUUCCCCACUCCCCUUUCCAUUCCUUAAAAAACAGCCCUAAAAGCUGCUCCCACACUAGCUCUCCCUAACUCAUCCCAACCCUUUUCAUUACACAACCCUGAAGUACAGGGCUAUGCGGUCAGAAUGCUUACACAAGAGCCAGGACCGCACCCUGUAGCCUUUCUGUCCAAACAACUUGACCUUACUGUUCAUCCUAACCCUCAUGUCUGCAUGUGGCAGCUGCCGCUGCUUUAAUACUUCUAGAGGCCCUCAAAAUCACAAGCUAUACUCCACUUACCCUCUACAGUUCCCAUAACUUUCAAAAUCUAUUUUCCUCCUCACACUUGACACUUAUACUUUCUGCCCCCCAGCUCCUUCAGCUAUUCUCAGUCUUUGUUGAGUCUCCCACAAUUACCAUUUUUCCUGGCCCAGACUUCAAUCUGACCUCCUACAUUAUUCUGGAUAUCAGACCUGACCCCCAUGACUGUAUAUCUCUGAUCCACCUGACAUUCACCCCAUUUCCCCAUAUUUCCUUCUUUCCUGUUUCUCACCCUGAUCACACUUGGUUUAUUGAUGGCAGUUCCACCAGGCCUAAUCACCACUCACCAGCAAAGGCAGGCUAUGCUAUAGUAUCUUCCACAUCUAUCAUUGAGGCUACUGCUCUGCCCCCCUCCACUACCUCUCAGCAAGCCAAACUCAUUGCCUUAACUCAGGCCCUCACUCUUGCAAAGGGCUACGUGUCAAUAUUUAUACUGACUCUAAAUAUGCCUUCCAUAUCCUGCACCACCAUGCCGUUAUAUGGGCAGAAAGAAAUUUCCUCACUACACAAGAGUCCUCCAUCAUUAAUGCCUCCUUAAUAAAAACUCUUCUUAAAGUCGCUUUACUUUCAAAGGAAGCUGGAGUCAUUCACUGCAAGGGCCAUCAAAAGGCAUCAGAUGUCAUCUCACAGGGCAACGCUUAUGCUGAUAAGGUAGCUAAAGAAGCAGCUAGCGUUCCAACUUCUGUCCCUCAUGGCCAGCUUUUCUCUUUCUCACUGGUCACUCCUGUUUACUCUCCAAGUGAAGUUUCCACCUAAUCAAUCCCUCUCCACUCAAGGCAGAUGGUUCUUAGACGCCCCCCCCCCCAAAAAAAAUUCUUCCAGCCUGCAGGCCUGGAAGAAUUCUAUUCUGUCAUCAUUUCAUAACCUCUUCCAUGUAGGUUACAAGCCGAUAGCCCACCUCUUAAAACCUCUCAUUUCCUUUCCAUCAUGAAAAUCUAUCCCCAGUCCACCACUCUUGACUCCCUCUUGGAGUGGAUAGAUGAUCUUUGCUGACAGGACGCACUCCAAUACUUUCACCCUGAUGAAGUCCUAUUCUUUACUUUUAUACUCACUCUUAUUCUCAUUCCCAUUCUUAUGCCACCCUCUACCUCUCCCCAGCUAUCUCCACCACACUAUCAAUCUCACUCACUCUCUCCUAGCCAUUUCUAAUCCUUUUUAAACAAACAGUUGCUGGCUUUGCAUUUCUCUUUCCUCCAAAAUCGCCGAGGCCUCGAUUUACUCACUGCUGAAAAAGGAGGACUCUGUAUAUUUUUAAGUGAAGAGUGUUGUUUUUACCUAAAUCAGUCUGGCCUGGUAUGUGACAACAUAAAAAAACUCAAGGAUAGAGCCCAAAAACUCGCCAACCAAGCAAAUAAUUACGUUGAACCCCCUUGGACACUGUCUAAUUGGAUGUCCUGGGUACUCCCAAUUCUUAGUCCUUUAAUACCUAUUUUUCUUCUUCUUUUAUUCGGACCUUGUGUCUUCCGUUUAGUUUCUCAAUUCAUACAAAACCGCAUCCAGGCCAUCACCAAUAAUUCUAUAUGACAAAUGCUCCUUCUAACAACCCCACAAUAUCACCCCUUACCCCAAAAUCUUUCUUCAGUUUGAUCUCUCCCACUGUAGGUUCCCAUGCUGCCCCUAAUCCUGCUGGAAGCAGCCCUGAGAAACAUCGCCCAUUAUCUCUCCAUACCACCCCCAAACAUUUUCACCGCCCCAACACUUCACCACUAUUUCGUUUUGUUUUUCUUAUUAAUAUAAGAAGACAGGAAUGUCAGGCCUCUGAGCCCAAGCUAAGUCAUCAUAUCCCCGGUGACCUGCACGUAUACAUCCAGAUGGCCUGAAGCAACUGAAGAUCCACAAAAGAAGUGAAAAUGGCCUUAAUUGAUGGCAUUCCACCAUUGUGAUUUGUUCCUGCCCCACCCUAACUAAUAAGAUAUAGUCUCCCCCGCCCUUAAAAAGGUACUUUGUAAUAUUCUUCCCCGCCUUAAGAACGUACUUUGUAUGCCUAUCCCAACCCUAUAAGAACUAAUGAUAAUCCUA